GUCCAAUGGACUCAGAUGUCACUAAUCACUCACAAUCAUGGGGUGAUUGGUUCGAGGAUCAAAUGGGCCGGCAUACUGGUCUCAAAUCUAAGGAUGAUAACGCAGGAGCACCAGCAGGGGAACCGAUAGGAGCACCAGCAUGUGCAUAGAAAUAUUGAUAUAUAGUGCAUGCAGCACUCAAAUUACAACCUAUUUGAUUAUAUAUUACUUAUCAGUUUUUUGUCCAAAUAGUAACAUGCAUCCUCUUCUAGACUUGCUCUGUUUGUAAA